GAAGUUUAAAGUCAUAGGGGUGAAUUUAAAGGAACUCACACGUGCAUCAGGCUCUAUAAAAUAAGCAGGUGCACAUCACUAUGCAGCACAGAAAACAUACCCCGGUGUAUUUGGUAUUUGAGGAAAGCUUCAGAGAGCACUGUUGGCUGAACCCUAUUGUACUAGGAACUCAACAUAAAGGGGCGAAGAAAACUGCCGUGCAUGUCAAAAGGGCGGCAGAUGAAGAGACCAGAGAACCCCAAAGGAUAUGAUUUGUUCUGUGUUCUGCAUGCGGUUAUGCGACUAAAUGAACACUGGGAUGACCGGCAUGCUCUUCUACUUGACUUCAGCCAAAAGACUGGACCAAAUCCCUGACGCUGCCAUUCUGGGAAGAAACAUCAAAUGCAGCCUCCUUUUUACACACCUAGUUGUAUUUCAAGGCUCCGGGAUUAUGGUAGGGAGACACUUGCAACAAUAUGUAUCAUCUCCAGUGGGGCAUGGCAUUAAGAUGCACUCCACCAACACCGGGUCCCAAACCCCAUUGCACUGAUGUGGCAUCAGCCCCCACUUACUGACAUUGAUUUCUCUCCUUGUUUCUGUUCCCAAACAAAAUUUCCCAUUCUCUUUGAAGAUUAACCAUG